GUCCAACAUCUCUUGAUGACAUCACCUGAUUCCAACAGGUCACACGUCUCUUGGGGGCCUUUUUCCCACAUCAUUUAAUAGGAAGUGCCUGUUCUGUGAAAUACGAAGAUAACCAGCCUUGGAGAAGACGCCUCCAUCCAUACUGAGAUGCUAAACCAGAAGCUACAAAACUGGUAUUUGGAUUAAGCAUAGCGGGUGGAUCAGCUACUUUUCUCUUCUGUGGCCUUAAGAUGAGAAUAAAAACUCCAUUUGAAAGAAAAAAAAAAAGACCCAUCCGCUUUUUCUCCCCUGAUGAUAGGAGAUGCCAAGCAGAUUCCACCUCUUCCAUCGCCCGCAAGCACAGGCAGCCAAGAAGUGCCAAGAGGCAGCAGAUGUUUUAACUCUGAGGCAGCCAGGACAUUUUGUGGCAAGCAGAGCCUGGAGAGAAUUGCUGCCAGGGAACGUGUCUUCUGCCGCACGACCACGUGCUGCUCCUUCAUCUCCAGCAUGCCAGAGAUCAGCCUUCCCACAUAAACCCAGCAAGACCCUACCAUGGCACCUGAAAACAAAAAAAAUCUGUGACCCAAGGCUGGUGGCACUUUCAGGCUGGACCUGUCUAAGGCUGUUGGCCAAAGCCCAAAAGCCACUUACGCUGCUGUUAAUAACCCACCCGUGUUACAAAGCAGCACCAGAAGACACCAACCAAAGACAAGGUGAUCUGCUAAAACAGCCUGUAGAGUCUUCUGACCUCUUUCCCACGGCCUCACAGCAUCUAAGCCCACACAUCCAGCUGGGAACUUGAUAACGUUGUCCUCCCAUUAUCCCUUCCAUGUUUUCUCUUCCCAAACCCAGGAUGUGGACAGGUAAACCUUUCAGAGCUCCCUUUCCCCACCGCGCAUCAUUGUUCCUCCCCCGUCUUUUCCCGAAUGCCGGAUACGGCAUGUCCUAACCAGCCCCUGGCAUUCCAUGGGAGUGGAAGCCAGGCUGCCUACCCUUCUGCAGGCCAAAUGCACAUUUAUACUCACGAGUAAGUCUUUUCCCAAACCUUUUUACGUAGGAUUAUGAGACUAUGACACAACGCAGUCUGGAUUUCCAUGAGAACAUGGGGAGACGUGCUGAUUCUCAAGGAGAGGUAGUUUGUUCAUACUGGGAAAUGUUGCCUCUCUGGAGGACCUUUCUGGUACAUCCCAAAUGAAUGUCCAUGGUGUUCCCUGUCAAGAGGCUUUGGUCCUGUGGGCAGUCUUCACGUAACUAAAAGCACUUUGAGAGGGGUGGAGAAGGAACGAGCAUGUAUGCCAGCCACAGACCCAGCACACUCAACAGCCACUGACUCAUAAAUGUGCACUUUCACAAGCCUAUGGGUUGCUCUGCCCAUUCCAAACCCAUUAGCAACAUGUGGCCUUGAAAAUAUGCACCUGGACGGGACCCUGAAACGUCAUGUCAUCCAUCCCGCUCCCCGAGGCGGGAGCAACUCUACCUACAGCAUUCCUGAGCGGUAUUCUGUCCAACCUGUUCUUAAAACCUCCAACAGGGGAGACUCCAGAGCGUCCCAAAGCUUUUCUAGUAUUAUCACAACCUACCAUUAUGAGAUUUUCUUGGUGGAUCAUCUAAAUCUACCUUCGAAUGUAAAAGGAAGCGACCUUCCUCCCGCGGAGAUGCUGGGUCGCUGUGGGUUAUACCAGGCCUGCCGGGUGGCACGGUCCCAGGUCUCUGGGCUGGUGGCCCUGCUCCAAAACUGCUGAUUAGCACAAGGGAAUUCCACUGCCGUUACAGUCCGCAUCAGCUGCCUCCACACGUCUGCC
ensembl:lncRNA